rnacentral:rRNA from 1 species
GAUGAACGCUGGCGGCGUGCCUAAUACAUGCAAGUCGAGCGAACAGACGAGGAGCUUGCUCCUCUGACGUUAGCGGCGGACGGGUGAGUAACACGUGGAUAACCUACCUAUAAGACUGGGAUAACUUCGGGAAACCGGAGCUAAUACCGGAUAAUAUAUUGAACCGCAUGGUUCAAUAGUGAAAGACGGUUUUGCUGUCACUUAUAGAUGGAUCCGCGCCGCAUUAGCUAGUUGGUAAGGUAACGGCUUACCAAGGCAACGAUGCGUAGCCGACCUGAGAGGUGGAUCGGCCACACUGGAACUGAGACACGGUCCAGACUCCUACGGGAGGCAGCAGUAGGGAAUCUUCCGCAAUGGGCGAAAGCCUGACGGAGCAACGCCGCGUGAGUGAUGAAGGUCUUCGGAUCGUAAAACUCUGUUAUUAGGGAAGAACAAAUGUGUAAGUAACUAUGCACGUCUUGACGGUACCUAAUCAGAAAGCCACGGCUAACUACGUG